rnacentral:rRNA from 1 species
ACGCUGGCGGCGUGCCUAAUACAUGCAAGUCGAGCGGACCGACGGGAGCUUGCUCCCUUAGGUCAGCGGCGGACGGGUGAGUAACACGUGGGUAACCUGCCUGUAAGACUGGGAUAACUCCGGGAAACCGGGGCUAAUACCGGAUGCUUGAUUGAACCGCAUGGUUCAAUCAUAAAAGGUGGCUUUUAGCUACCACUUACAGAUGGACCCGCGGCGCAUUAGCUAGUUGGUGAGGUAACGGCUCACCAAGGCGACGAUGCGUAGCCGACCUGAGAGGGUGAUCGGCCACACUGGGACUGAGACACGGCCCAGACUCCUACGGGAGGCAGCAGUAGGGAAUCUUCCGCAAUGGACGAAAGUCUGACGGAGCAACGCCGCGUGAGUGAUGAAGGUUUUCGGAUCGUAAAACUCUGUUGUUAGGGAAGAACAAGUACCGUUCGAAUAGGGCGGCACCUUGACGGUACCUAACCAGAAAGCCACGGCUAACUACGUGCCAGCAGCCGCGGUAAUACGUAGGUGGCAAGCGUUGUCCGGAAUUAUUGGGCGUAAAGCGCGCGCAGGCGGUUUCUUAAGUCUGAUGUGAAAGCCCCCGGCUCAACCGGGGA